UACAGAGGUGGCAAGCGUUGCUCGGUAUCACUGGGCGUAAAGGGCGCGUAGGCGGCCUGGCAAGUCGGGGGUGAAAGCCUGUGGCUCAACCACAGAAUGGCCUCGAUACUGUCGGGCUUGAGACCGGAAGAGGUCAGUGGAACUGCGAGUGUAGAGGUGAAAUUCGUAGAUAUUCGCAAGAACACCGGUGGCGAAAGCGGCUACUCUGGCCCGGUUCUGACGCUGAGGCGCGAAAGCGUGGGGGAGCAAACAGGG
rnacentral:rRNA from 1 species